UAGGGAAUCUUCCACAAUGGACGAAAGUCUGAUGGAGCAACGCCGCGUGAGUGAAGAAGGGUUUCGGCUCGUAAAGCUCUGUUGGUAGUGAAGAAAGAUAGAGGUAGUAACUGGCCUUUAUUGACGGUAAUUACUUAGAAAGUCACGGCUAACUACGUGCC
rnacentral:rRNA from 1 species